rnacentral:rRNA from 1 species
AGCGAACGCUGGCGGCAGGCUUAACACAUGCAAGUCGAGCGGGCACCUUUCGGGGUGUCAGCGGCGGACGGGUGAGUAACGCGUGGGAACGUGCCCUCAGGUUCGUAAUAACUUAGGGAAACUUGAGCUAAUACCGGCUACGCCCUUUUGGGGAAAGGCUGUCCGACGGAGGAGCGGCCGGCGUCUGAUCAGGUAGUUUGUGAGGUAACGGCGUACCAAUGCGACGUUGAGUAGCUGGUGUGCGAGGAUGAUCAGCCACACUGGGACUGAGACACGGCCGAGAAUCCUACGGGAGGCAGCAGUGGGGGAUAUUGGACAAUGGGCGCAAGGCUGAUCCAGCCAUGCCGCGUGAGUGAUGAAGGCCUGAGGGUUGUAAAGCUCUUUUAUCCGGGACGAUAAUGACGGUACCGGAGGAAUAAGCCCCGGCUAACUUCGUG